rnacentral:pre_miRNA from 1 species
AGGCAGUGAUGAGGGCAAUAUUGUGAAAGAAAUGGCAAAUUGCACUCGUCCCGGCCUGC